GACGAACGCGGCGGCGUGCUUAACACAUGCAAGUCGAACGGUGAACUUUGGAGCUUGCUUCAAGGGGAUCAGUGGCGAACGGGUGAGUAACACGUGAGUAACCUGCCCCGGACUCUGGAAUAAGCGCUGGAAACGGCGUCUAAUACCGGAUACGAGACGCAACCGCAUGGUUAGUGUCUGGAAAGUUUUUCGGUCUGGGAUGGACUCGCGGCCUAUCAGCUUGUUGGUGAGGUAAUGGCUCACCAAGGCGACGACGGGUAGCCGGCCUGAGAGGGCGACCGGCCACACUGGGACUGAGACACGGCCCAGACUCCUACGGGAGGCAGCAGUGGGGAAUAUUGCACAAUGGGCGAAAGCCUGAUGCAGCGACGCCGCGUGAGGGAUGACGGCCUUCGGGUUGUAAACCUCUUUCAGCAGGGAAGAAGCGAAAGUGACGUACCUGCAGAAGAGCCC
rnacentral:rRNA from 1 species